rnacentral:rRNA from 1 species
GAUGAACGCUGGCGGCGUGCUUAACACAUGCAAGUCGAACGGAAAGGCCCAAGCUUGCUUGGGUGCUCGAGUGGCGAACGGGUGAGUAACACGUGGGUGAUCUGCCCUGCACUUUGGGAUAAGCCUGGGAAACUGGGUCUAAUACCGGAUAGGACCAUCGUUCAGUUUCGGUGGUGGAAAGUUUUUCGGUGUGGGAUGAGCUCGCGGCCUAUCAGCUUGUUGGUGGGGUAAUGGCCUACCAAGGCGUCGACGGGUAGCCGGCCUGGGAGGGUGUACGGCCACAUUGGGACUGAGAUACGGCCAAGACUCCCACGGGAGGAAGCAGUGGGGAAGAUUGCACAAUGAGCGCAAGCCUGAUGCAGCGCCGCCGCGUGGGGGAUGACGGCCUUCGGGUUGUAAACUCCUUUCGCCAAGGACGAAGCGUUUUGUGACGGUACUUGGAGAAGAAGCACCGGCUAACUACGUG